rnacentral:rRNA from 1 species
AAAGCUCUCUCCCGAUGCACAACCGUCGGUGGCAGUAAAGGCUUCAGCACGACCCAGUCAGAACUAUAAGUCUCAAAGCCCCGACGAGUAGGGUGGCGUGCCGGUGCGCGUUGAAGGCCAAGACGUGAGUCAGGCUGGAGCCGCCGGUAGUGCAGAUCUUGGUGGUAGUAGCAAGUACUCUGGUGAACCAACCUGGAGCUGUGAGGUCUGGAUCAGGGUUCCAUGUCAACAGUGAUUGAACAUGGGUGAGUCGAUCCUAAGCCAACUGUGAAAGCAGUGACAUCCCGACAAAGGGGCAUAUUACUUGCACCCCCAAGCAUUGCAAUGUGAAGCUCUCAAGUAUAUACAUCUCUCUCUCUCGCGAGCGCAUACACGGGGCCUCGCAAAGCAUCUGGUUACGGAAAGGAAAUGAUAAAAUGCACACACAUACAAUGAUCAAUAAAAAUGUGAGUGUGUGUGUGUGCGUAUAAGCUUGUCUGUCUGGUUACGCUCAUAUGAAUAUAUAUGCGUUGAUAUGCUGUCUGUCAAAGGUUAAGAGAGAGAGAGAGAGAGAGAGUGGGUGAGCGCGAGUGUUUUCCCUGCGUUGGUUCUAUGUCUGGCGAAAGGGAAUGGGGACUUUGUUCCUUGACCGGUCCCGGCACCCUCGAUUGGCUUUGCCAAUUAAUGGUCCAUGCAAAUGGAACCAGGCCACAGCCGCCGGCAGUCGCCCGAGGAAGAGUUUUCUUUUCUGCUUAACGCGCGAGGUCAUCCCUGGAAACAGUUCGGCUUGCGAAAGGGUGCCCCGUUGCGGCAGAGCGCCACGACUGUCGUGCGCGUCUCGGUGUUCCUGCCGGUCCGUGAAGACGUGGUCGAGGGGAUUGCUCUUGUAUCAACGAAACGCCCGACGAGUUCGGGACGGACCGUACCCUAUAUCCGCAUCUGGUCUCCAAGGUUCGUAGCCUCUGCAGAGUCUGACACAUGUAGGUAAGGGAAGUCGGCAAACUCGAUCCGUAACUUCGGAAAAAGGAUUGGCUCUGAGGGCCGAGCUGGGCCGGGCCUUGCCUGCAAAGCAGUACCUAUAGUGACCGGAGUUUCAGGAGUGCGAGGGGCUCUAGUAGCUGCUUGUGCGUUCGCGUGUGGGCACGAACGAGUCCACCGCUCCGCUCCAACUACGAACGGCUGUGACGGCAAGGGCUCUGGGCGGGAGCGAUCGAUCCGUUGGCCUCCAGCGCGUCUGGUUGGCGGCGGUGCUCCCUCUGUCCCAUACGGCUCCAGCGGCUAGCGGCUAACUCAGAACUGUCAUGGACCAAGGGAAUCCGACUGUCUAAUUAAAACAAAGCGUCGUGACGGCCCCUGUUGGGUGUUGACGCGACGUGAUUUCUGCCCAGUGCUCUGAAUGUCAAAGUGAAGAAAUUCACCG